GCCUUCGUUAUGUAAUGGUCAACACACUCGGCGCGUAUUCGAGAGGUCCGAGGUUCGAGUCCCAGCGAGGGCA
rnacentral:tRNA from 1 species